GACGAACCGUGCGAACGUUGUUCGGAUUCACUGGGCUUAAAGGGCGCGUAGGCGGGCCAUCAAGUCCGGGGUGAAAUCCUCCAGCUUAACUGGAGAACAGCCUUGGAUACUGGUGGUCUGGAGGAAGGUAGGGGCAUGUGGAACUAAUGGUGGAGCGGUGAAAUGCGUAGAUAUCAUUAGGAACGCCGGUGGCGAAAGCGACGUGCUGGACCUUUUCUGACGCUGAGGCGCGAAAGCCAGGGGAGCAAACGGG
rnacentral:rRNA from 1 species